rnacentral:rRNA from 1 species
AGGAUUAGAUACCCUUGUAGUCCACGCCGUAAACGAUGUCUACUAGCCGUUGGGACUCUUGAAGUCUUAGUGGCGCAGCUAACGCACUAAGUAGACCGCCUGGGGAGUACGGCCGCAAGGUUAAAACUCAAAUGAAUUGACGGGGGCCCGCACAAGCGGUGGAGCAUGUGGUUUAAUUCGACGCAACGCGAAGAACCUUACCUGGCCUUGACAUGCAGAGAACUUUCCAGAGAUGGAUUGGUG